UGAGUGAGUGGCGGACGGGUGAGUAACGCAUGGGAAUCUACCUGGUAGUGGGGGAUAACUUAGGGAAACUUAAGCUAAUACCGCAUACGCACUACGGUGGAAAGCGGGGGAUCUUCGGACCUCGCGCUAUCAGAUGAGCCCAUGUCCGAUUAGCUAGUUGGUAGGGUAAAGGCUUACCAAGGCGACGAUCGGUAGCUGGUCUGAGAGGACGAUCAGCCACACUGGGACUGAGACACGGCCCAGACUCC
rnacentral:rRNA from 1 species